rnacentral:lncRNA from 1 species
CACAAUGCCAAUUUGUUGUGAAGCUGGACACAAGUGCUGGGAGAUUAUUCUAGUUCUUAUCUCUGCUGGCUUAGGUUUUGUUGGUAACAUAGUAGAAAGUGAAAUUCCUGGAUUUUUUUCAGUGUACCACUUUCUUUCAAAGAGGAAAGCUCUUCAUCUCCAAAUGGUUGAGAAUAUUUUUGUGCAGUUGGUUUGUGUGCCAUGGUCUGGGGAGCUGUGA